AUUUUUCUAGUGCUUACAUUUGUUUCUGUUCAUAUGUUAUCUGCUGAUGCAGGCGGCGGUUUCACGAUGGCACAGACAGCUGCUGCGUACAAAGCUGUUGUCACCUAUGCUGGAAUGGGAAAGGCAGGAAUUCAGAUGGGCAGUUGGGCGAAAGUUACGAAGGGUCUGAACUAUGCGACCAAGUUUAAUCUUCACAAGGGUAAUAUGCUGUUGAAUUGGGUAUAUUUGACAAACCAUAAUUAUUAUUUAGAAUAGGAUUUCAUGUUUAUUCAAAAUGAGACAAAGGCUCAUAACGGC